rnacentral:lncRNA from 1 species
AGAAAUAUAGGUUGCCUCCUAGUAGCGCUUGUUUAACGUCACGAGCCUGACCCAAACCUGGUUGACACUUGUCAGUAAGUGCACUUCCUUCCACCACCCAUCAGUAGGUGUACCUUCCAGAUAUCCUUCAGUGGAUACCAAAAAUUUUCUAGCAUCCCUCAGUAGAUGCUAUCAUUACUGCCAUCAGAAGCCGCGCAUAACCCAAAAAAAAUAAAAAUAAAAAAAAUAAAAUCAAAUAAAAUCAAAUCAAAUCAAAUCAAAUCAAAUAAAAAAAAUAAAAUAAAAUAAUCAAAUAAAAUAAAAUAAAAUAAAAUAAAAUCGAUAAAAUAAAAUAAAAUCAAAUAAAAUAAAAUCAAAUCAAAUCAAAUCAAAUCAAAUCAAAUAGAAUCAAAUCAAAUCAAAUCAAAUCAAAUAAAAACAAAUCAAAUAAAAUAAAAUCAAAACGAAAAAAAAAUUCAGAAAUUGGGUUGCCUCCCAGCAAGCGCUCUUUUUAUGUCACUAGCUUGACCUGGUAGAGUUCAAACACCCAUCAGUAGGUGUUGAUACUCCCCUUUCUUGAUAUUCUUUUCUUUUUCUUCUUCCUGCUGAAUUUCUUCAUAAAAUUAAGAACACCAAGCACUUGUUUCCAUGUUUCAAUCAUAGGAACUUUAAUCUCCAAUUUCUUGAAGAUCUCCAUAAAGCUCAAAUAUUUAUUUUCCUUCCUAUUAUAUUUCUUUUUAUGAGGAAGGGGUUUGUCACAAGAUCUUUUCUUUUUACCUCUCUUCCUUUUCUUCUCUCUCCUCAACUUUCCUCUUUUCUCUUUUCUCUUUUCUCUUUUCUUCUUUUCUUCUUUAUUUUUAAAUAUUUUUUAUUUUUUUCUUUUUUCUUAACCACUGUUUUUUCUCCCUCAUCAUCUUUAUCUUCCUCAACCAACUCUUCUGUUUCUUCUUCUUUUAAAUCUCUCUCUAUCUCUUCGUCCUCUACCUUUUCCUCCUUGACAACCUUAUCAUUUUUAGAGAUAGUGGCUU